rnacentral:rRNA from 1 species
UACGUAGGGUGCGAGCGUUAAUCGGAAUUACUGGGCGUAAAGCGUGCGCAGGCGGUUUUGUAAGCCAGAUGUGAAAGCCCCGGGCUCAACCUGGGAAUGGCAUUUGGGACUGCAAGGCUGGAGUUUGGCAGAGGAGACUGGAAUUCCUGGUGUAGCAGUGAAAUGCGUAGAUAUCAGGAGGAACACCGAUGGCGAAGGCAGGUCUCUGGGCUGAAACUGACGCUCAUGCACGAAAGCGUGGGGAGCGAACAGG